UUCCUACGGGGGGCAGCAGUGAGGAAUAUUGGUCAAUGGGCGGGAGCCUGAACCAGCCAAGCCGCGUGAGGGAAGAAGGUACAGCGUAUCGUAAACCUCUUUUGUCAGGGAACAAAGGCGGGGACUAGUCCCCGGAUGAGGGUACCUGAAGAAAAAGCAUCGGCUAACUCCGUGCCAGCAGCCGCGGUAAUACGGAGGAUGCGAGCGUUAUCCGGAUUUAUUGGGUUUAAAGGGUGCGUAGGCGGAUUUUUAAGUCAGCGGUAAAAUGUCCGGGCUCAACCCGGGACGGCCGUUGAAACUGGGGG
rnacentral:rRNA from 1 species